rnacentral:rRNA from 1 species
UACAGAGGGUGCGAACGUUGUUCGGAUUUACUGGGCGUAAAGCGCGUGUAGGCGGUCUCGCAAGUCGGAUGUGAAAGCCCCAGGGCUCAACCCUGGAAGUGCACUCGAUACUGCGAGGCUAGAGUCCCGGAGAGGAUGGUGGAACUCUCGGUGUAGAGGUGAAAUUCGUAGAUAUCGAGAAGAACACCGGUGGCGAAGGCGGCCAUCUGGACGGUGACUGACGCUGAGACGCGAAAGCGUGGGGAGCAAACAGG